GGGGACCCGCAGCACACUCCUGCACCGCGAGCGCCCCCUUGGCCUUCAGGAUUCCUGUGGGUUUGAAGAGGCCGAUGCUUGUGGCUCUUACCAACAUCAAUUUGCAGUCGCCAGGAUGCAACUUCACCCUAUGCUGCGUUCAUAAAUUAAUCUCCGGGGAUUAGAUUCUGUGUUUUUAGUAACACUCCUGAGGCAUUGUAUUUACACAUUAAUAAUAAAAGAAAAAAGUGAGACAA